GAAGGUAUAGCUCAGUGGUAGAGUGCUUGCCUAGCAUGCACAAGGUCCUGGGUUCACUCCCCAGUACACCCA
rnacentral:tRNA from 1 species